GAUGAACGCUGGCGGCGUGCUUAACACAUGCAAGUCGAACGAGAGAAGAUUGGUGCUUGCACUGAUCCGAUCGAGUGGCGGACGGGUGAGUAACGCGUGGGUAACCUGCCUCAUACAGGGGAAUAACAGUUGGGAACGGCUGCUAAAACCGCAUAAGCGCACAGUAUCGCAUGAUACAGUGUGAAAAACUCCGGUGGUAUGAGAUGGACCCGCGUCUGAUUAGCUAGUUGGUGAGGUAACGGCCCACCAAGGCAACGAUCAGUAGCCGGCCUGCGAGGGUGAACGGCCACAUUGGGACUGAGACACGGCCCAAACUCCUACGGGAGGCAGCAGUGGGGAAUAUUGCACAAUGGGGGAAACCCUGAUGCAGCGACGCCGCGUGAGUGAUGAAGUAUUUCGGUAUGUAAAGCUCUAUCAGCAGGGAAGAUAAUGACGGUACCUGACUAAGAAGCACCGGCUAAAUACGUGCCAGCCGCCGCAGUAA
rnacentral:rRNA from 1 species